AUUGAACGCUGGCGGCAUGCUUUACACAUGCAAGUCGAACGGUAACAGGCCGCAAGGUGCUGACGAGUGGCGAACGGGUGAGUAAUGCAUCGGAACGUGCCCAGUCGUGGGGGAUAACGCAGCGAAAGCUGUGCUAAUACCGCAUACGAUCUAUGGAUGAAAGCGGGGGACCGUAAGGCCUCGCGCGAUUGGAGCGGCCGAUGUCAGAUUAGGUAGUUGGUGGGGUAAAGGCCUACCAAGCCGACGAUCUGUAGCUGGUCUGAGAGGACGACCAGCCACACUGGGACUGCGACACGGCCCAGACUCCUACGGGAGGCAGCAGUGGGGAAUUUUGGACAAUGGGCGCAAGCCUGAUCCAGCAAUGCCGCGUGCAGGAAGAAGACCUUCGGGUUGUAAACUGCUUUUGUACGGAACGAAACGGUCUGGGUUAAUACCCUGGGCUAAUGACGGUACCGUAAGAAUAAGCACCGGCUAACUACGUGCCAGCCGCCGCAGUAACAC
rnacentral:rRNA from 1 species